rnacentral:rRNA from 1 species
UACGAGGGGGGCAAGCGUUGUUCGGAAUUACUGGGCGUAAAGGGCGCGUAGGCGGUCUGGUCAGUCCCUUGUGAAAUCCCCCGGCUCAACUGGGGAACUGCACGGGAAACAGCCGGGCUUGAGUUCGGGAGAGGGAAGCGGAAUUCCGGGUGUAGCGGUGAAAUGCGUAGAUAUCUGGAGGAACACCGGUGGCGAAGGCGGCAUCCUGGACCGGUAUUGACGCUGAGGCGCGAAAGCCAGGGGAGCAAACGGGG